rnacentral:rRNA from 1 species
CUUCAACAGCCUCCAAACAGUCCCGACAUGAACAUUCUUGAUCUCUGCAUAUUCAAGUCUCUCCAGUCCCACACCGAUAGCAGAGCACCUCAAAGCAUCAGGGAACUGAUAGAAGGUGUGGAGGAGGAAUAUCGAAACUACCCGGUUGAUAAGCUAGCUAGAAGCUUCGUGACGCUGCAGUCAUGCAUCCGAGAAGUAAUGAGAAACAAGGGAGCGAUAAACUACUCGAUCCCUCACAUGAACAAGGAACGCCGGCAGUCAGAAGGACGACUUCCUAUAGCUCUAUCUAUCGAUCGUGAGCUAGUUGGACAGACCAAAGCCUUUAUAGAAGAGGCAGAAGCAAUCUUAGCAGCAGAAAAAGAGCAGAAGCAGCAGGAAAAGAGCAGCAAGAAAAGAGCCGCAGCAGCCUUGAAGAAGCAGAAACACCCUUCGAAUACCAGCAGCCUCCAAGCAGCAGGAAAAGAGAACCAGGAGCCUUCAAGCAGCAAUAAAAGAGCACCAGCAGCCUCCAAGCAGCAGGAAAAGAGCAGCUCUUCUUUACUUGGGGUCAGCUAG